GACUCCAUCUCAAUAAAUAAAUUAAUUAAUUAAAUAAAUAAGACAUAUAUAUUUAAAUAGAUAACUAUAUAUCCUCCCUCUCUUCCAUUUAGUAAAUAUGGUUAGAGGCAUUUUUACUUUUUCCUAGAGCAUAACAUAUGGAUCACAAUACCAAAAACCACCCAGGUCAUACAUUGGCUGUGGAGUUGCGCCAAUUUGGAACAGGCAAACUGGCUAAGUCCGGGCAACUUUGUCCCUGAGGGUGCACUGAUGUUUUCUGUUCUUCCAGAGACAGGGUUAUGAAUAAGGUGCUGUGCCUCCAGGCAGAAGACAGGCGCCCAUGUGGAUGAUGUUGCUGGCAGGGCUGAGCCACCAGAGAGCUCCUUGACCCAAUGCUUGCCAAAACUGUGUGGUUCAUCCAGUCUGGAGUGUCUGCCUGCAGAUCCACUCACUCGUCAGCUCCACCCACUGGUUCACUGUCUACUUGCAUGUAGUGAGCUAGGCUAUGUGAGUGGUAGGAAUUGCUCUUCCUGCAUACCUAGGGCUGGACCUUGCCACAGUCAGAAUGGGAAGUCUGAGCUCAGUCACUUGAGUCAACAGUAAAGGGGAGGCUUGGAGUCCAAGAUUGGCUGUGCCCCUCUGGAUAAGGUGGCUCUACUGAUGCAGAGGUGGGCAGACCUAGGAGAAAGGCCAUGCUGUAAUGUUGGCAGGUGAUGGAGCAGAGCCUGUGUUGGAGGUGCAGUAGAGUUGCCAACGGACUUGGGAGUUCAGGUUCUGCUGGGAUUAGCUGAGGUGAAAGGAUUACUUGAGCCUGGGAGGUUGAGACUGCAGUGAGCCAUGAUUGCACCACCGCACACUGCGCUCCAACCUAGGUGAAAGAACAAGGCCCUGUCUAAAAGCAAAAAAAAAAAGAAAGAAUGAAAAGAGAAAAAGAAGCAGCUCCACAAAUCUGAAAUAGGAUAAAUUCAAAGAAAACAAUGUCCAGACACAUCAUCAUUAAUCUACUGGAAAUGAGAGGUAGUGAAAAUUAUUUUGAAAGCAUCCAGAGAAAAGUUACAAAACAGAAAUUAAAUGAUUUAUUGUAGCAGAACUCAAUGAAAUUGAAAACGGAACAACAGAGGAAUAUUAGUGAACAAAAACCUGGUUAUUUAAAAGGAUUAAUAAAGUUGAUAAACUUCUAGCCCAAUUGGCCAAGAAAAAAAAGAGAGAAGAUUCCUAAUGUAUCAGGAAUGAAAAAGAUGACAUUACUACAGACCUUACAGAUACUAAAAAGAUAUUAAGGGAAUACUACACACAACUCUAUGCUCAUAAAUUGAAUAUCUUAGAUGAAAUAGACCAAUUCCUUGAAAGACACAAACUAUCAAAACUCACUCAAAAAGGAAAUGGAGUAGCUAGGCUAUUUGAGGCACGGGGCACGUCAUUGGGAAACCUGAGGCUGGCUUGGCGGUUUUACCUCCAGUUUGAGCCUCAACUCAUCUUUAAGGCUUAGACAUUCCAGAUCUUUGGCACCAGUACUGUUGGUAACGGGGGGCAUUUCUUGGUCACUGGAGCCCUUGACCACUCAGAUGGCCAUUAAGCUUCUGGACAUCUUCUGGCUCACUGGCUUUCAGGACAUCUUCUGGGUGUGGCUUAGUAGUUGGAGUCUCCUUGGACUUCCUAUCUCCUCGAUAUCGUGGCUUUUGAAGGAAUCCCUAAAUCUGCAACAUCUUUUUCCUAAAGUGAAAACUCUGAGAAGAUGCUCUCCCCUGUGCUGAACCGCUUCAGACUCUCUGCCCUCUGUCCUCUGCCUCUAGGUACUGCUCCUCUAUGGCCAGAGUCUGUUGGGACAUAACUCCACUGUCAUCCAUUGGGUAUGUCCUGCCAUUGUCUGACUUGAAGUGAUUUUGGACUGCCUCUCUUGUCUCCCUUACAGUCUCACUCUGACAUGGUUUGUCCAUGAAGAUGGUAAGAGGAGCUUAAAAGUUUGCCUGCUUUCCUUCUUGGACUCACAGUCCUCUGUGACCAAAUCUCAGGGCCUUCUGGACUUCCUGCUUAUAGCUGAGGGAGCAGGGAAGGAAUCUUUGGGGUGAGGACUGAAUUUUUUUGUGAUCCUCUUGUCUGCUGGCUUCAACUUAUCUAACGGUUUCUUUCAAGGAUCUAAGCAACCUCAGCUUAGCCAUCAUGGAAGCAUGGGUGGCUGAGGGAGAAAGGUGGACUUGGGAAGAGCCAUGAUUGGGCCUCUGUUACCUUAAGUUUUAUGGAUUCAACCACCUUGAGAGGUAAGCUAUACCUCUACCUCUGUCACACUCAAAACCAUACCACCUGGGCUUCUAGUGCCUAUGUAGCACUUGAAUCAAGAAAGGAAAGCUUCCAAGAGGUAUUCAGGCAGUUUUCUGAUUCACUGAGGGUGCCAAGGUUUCAGUUUCCAGGAAGAUACAGGACUUCCCAGAAGGGGGCGGUAUAUAGUUGGCAAGAGUCAUGAACCAUGCCAAUGGCCUCCAGCCUGGGACAUUCGUCCAACUUCUUGUCCAAGUGAAUGGCUCUGGUCUAGGUUCUCUUUUGGACCCCAGAUAAGUCAUUCCUUUAGUGACACUUCAAGCUAUUUCUUGUCUCCUCAGAGUCGGACCUUAGGCUCCUCAUGGGGUAGCUUUUUAAGCACCAGAAUAGAUUUUUUUUUCCUUUUUAUCCUUCCUCAAGUUGGGCUCCUACUGGAACUUUGCUGGGCCUCUCACAGGAAGCUUCCGGUCACCUUGGUGCCAUCUUUCUUAGAUCUUUCCUUGCUGCUUUGACCCUUACCACAGAGGACUGUAUGUGUCCACGCUUGCCCUUUGGAUGAGAAUUUGUUCUCAGGCUGUAUCUGUGCCAGGUGGGGCUGGUGUUGGAUGAUGCUUUUUCAAUGGUGGUGCUCCUAUUGCCCCCAGAUCCUGCUGCUGACGGGACAUUCUCCAGCAAGGAUGGAGAUGGGUGCUCAGGUCUGAGAGGCCACGCUAUCCUGAGGAAUGUUGAGAGCCGAAGGAUUCAAGGUUUCCUGAGAUCUUUGGACCAAAAGAAAAAAAAAAGAGACCCACACAAGACCACAUGCUGCUAAAGACACACGAAAAAAUGGUGAACAGAAUGGCAUUCUGCCCUCUUUCCUUGCAGUGGGCUCGCUCUCAUCUAACAGCUGCUCAUUCUUCCCACGUGUCCAGCCUGGUAGAUUGUGCUGUAGCAUGCACUGCUUCAGUCCUGAGAGACUGGCUAGAUUCCAGGGCCCUUGUACUCACUGCUUGAUGAAGCCAGAGGAAUGCCUGCAGCGGAUGAGCACAUUCCCAACCAGUGUGUAAAUGGUAAUGAAAUCACUGCAGCUUCCUGUGGGGAGUCAGACGCCAUGACCCUAACCCCAACAAGAAAAUGCUAAUGGUAUCGUGAGAUUGCAUUUGCAAGAAAAGGUUUUCUUAGAUCCUCACUUGCUCAACAAGGAAAUGGGAUGCCGUGGGAAGUUAUGAGUUCCCUGCUUGUGGUGCUGGAUAACUGAUUGGCAGGGAUGUUGUGGAGGUGGAGAGGAGGACUCCAACCCCAGGAUGCUAUCAGUCUUUAGUGCCCAUUGUCCCUAGGACGCCACCAGAGGUACGCAAUCUGAUGCGGAUUUCGCAACACAGCUUCUGAGGUUAGUGAUGCAAGUUCAUUCAGGAGAAAACUGCAUGGCUGGUGAGAUGGACCCAGGCUGUUGAGGCUGCUGCUGGGGCUAGUAGGGCCUGACUCAUGCUUCACUGUCCCUGCCAGCAUUUCAGAGGGAAGCGAUGUUGUCUCUUGUUCUUCCUCCGCUCAUCCCCUAAGCUGGGUGUCUGGUCUUCAGCCCUUCUCUCUUUCAUUCCACACAACCCCCUGAGAAAUCUCAGCCACACCCCAGCCUCAACUCCCAUCUCUGUGAUAACUCCUAACUCUAUCUACAGCCUUGACCUCAUCCCUGAGCAACAGACUCAUAUAGCUAACAGUUUAUUGGACAUCUUCAUCUCAUUGUCCUACAUUUCAAACAUGAUGUAUCUUAAAUUGGGAUGUUUUCUCCUGGCUUCAAAUCUGACGUCCCUCAUCCCCCCAGCCACCUCAUACAGAAACCUUCCUCCAUCUCCCUCUUAAGCUUGCUUCUACCUUGUGUGCAAGUCCUGUAUAUUCCACUUCUAUGGUGUCUCUUUUUAUUGGCCUUUUUCAUUCUAGCUGUAUUACCACUGAUUUCAUUACUGCCAGAGUGAGUAUACUUCGACCCAAGUGGGACUUCACCUCCCCCAGGUGGUCAUUCCCCUCAAGAAAAACAAGCAUAAAACACAAAAAGACUGACAAUACCAAGUGUUGACAAGAAUAUAGAGCAAUGAGAACUCUUGUGCAUUCCUGGUGGGUGUGUAUAUGGGUAGAACAACUUUGGGAAACUAGUAGUAUCUACUCAAGUAGAUAUAUGCAUAGCCCAUGACCCAGCAAUUCCACUCCUAGGUAUGUACACAGCAGAUUUACCCACAGAGGAGCACAUAAAGGCAUUUACAGGAAGGUUUACAUCCCCAAACUGGAAACUGCACAAAGCUCAUCAACAAUUGCACUGCAUCCAUACAAUGGGAUGUUAACCAGCAAUGAGCAACAACAAACUGCAUGUAUGUCUAACAACAUGGGGGAAUCUUGCAAACAUAUGUGGAGUGAAAAAAACCACACACAAGAAAAUUGCAAAAACUGGUUUAUGAUGUUAGGAUGGUUAUUUUUCUUGUAUGUAAGUAGUUCCUGAAAGAGGGCCAGAGUGGAUCUCUGGAGUUUUAGUAAUAAUUUGUUGUUGUUGUUUUAAUCUGAGUGCUGUUACAUAGAUGUGGUUCAGUUUGUGAAAAAUUUUGUACUUUUCUAUACAUAUGUCACAUUUCAAUAAAAACUUUAGUAAAACACAUCCACCUAUGCAUACACACUGAAAAAACAAAAUCUCUUCCAUGGUUCCUCACACCCAGAGGAGAAAUUUCCAGACCCUAACAGAACACUCAUAGAUCUCCAUGAUGUGACCCUGUCUGCCAGGCCACACCCUUCCCACCAGUACGAUGUGUGCCAUGCACUAGACCAUUCUCCUUGCUGAUCUCUGUGCUACUCCUUCAGCCUGAAUCCCUCUGUCCACCUGGCUCUGUCUGAAGACACCACCUCCUCUGUGAGGCCUCUUCUGAUUUCUGAGACCACACAUGCUGCUUUUCUCUCUCACACACCUCUGAGCUCUCUCUGCUUGCAUGCGUUCCCUUGACUGAAGGCAGCAUGACAUGAAAAUGCAGCCCAGGAAAGAUUUGUGUGGUCUCAGAAAUCAGGAGAGGCCUCACAGAGGAGGUGGCGUCUGCAGACAGAGCCAGAUGGACAGAAGAAUUCCAGGCUGAAGGAAGAGCAGUGAGACCUGCACAGAGAAUGUGGAGAGGGCUGGUAGAUGGCACACAUGCCCCAGGUGGGAAGGAGGUGACCUGCUAGACAGUCACAUCAUGGAGAGCAGAAGGUAAACCUCCUCAAGAUGGCAGAAAUGGUGCCUGGUUCAUCUUUGUAGACCCUCCUGGGGCCAGUGCUGUGCUUGGUAAAGCACUUGAGCUAACAAAUGUUUGAGAAAUGAUUGAAUGUAUGCUCUAAGUUAAGCUGUAGUUCACAGUGCCAGAAAGCCAAGACACCCAGUGUGCCUGCAAACAAGCUUCUGCCGAGAUCCAAGUCCCUUUGGAACCAAACACAUCCUGUAGUCCUUCAUUGGCUGUUGACAACCAGCUUGAUGUAAAUGUGUUGUGCAGCAUUGUGGGCAUGUCCAAUUAGACUCAGUGAGAUGGAGCAGCCCCACUAACAUGAAUAAGCCGUGCAAAUACGUGGUUAAUGACCAUGUCGCUCUGUGUCAAUUCUUAAUCCCGGAUAAUUAGCAGAUACAUAAUUGGUGGAAGAAGGGGAGGUGCUGAUGGAUGGCCCAUCACUUGGGUGAAGCUAAUGAUCCUCUAUGGAUUAAGACCCACCCUCUGUAAGUGUUGAUGGCUCCUAUUUGAAAUGCUCCUUUUGAAAGGGCCUAGAUCCAAGAAAAGGAACUCCAGAGCCAGGCGUUGGCAUCGGGACUAAUUCCCUGGGCUGCUUCCAUGAAAGGUGGGCAGACAUGUCCCACUGCUGCUAGCCUUGUGCAGGCAGCCAGAGUCCUGUACUGCUCCUGACUUGCUGGGUAAUCCCAAGGAGGGCCUUUUUCCUCUCUUAGUUUCAUCAUUUGUCUAAUAGCAAAGAGCGGGAAGGCUGGGGUGGGUGUGCUGACUUGAGAAUCCAUUGUAGACGAGAGUUUCCCUCACCUUCCCCUCCUUGACCACACUGGAAGUGUGUCAUUUGCUGCCAUUGAAAUGGUUUGGGUGGACUAGCUGGUCUGGAUGAUAGGGUGUGGUGGAGGGGACAUGCAGGGGUUGAAAGCAGACACCUGAGAUGGAAGCUGGUGGUACCUUAUGUGAUUUGAGGCAGGGCCAGCUAGCUGUCUACCAGGAUGGGUGCAUCUGGUACCAUGGCGUGAGUCAUCACUGCACAACAAUUGCUCAGCCAGCAACUCCAUUUCCCAGGCCCCUUUGCACUAAGUCAGGUACAGUACAGUGAUUCCUGUUGUUGAUAGCUGGCAUUUGUUCCGAUUGGCUGGGUGUCCACUCUGACUGGUUGAUGCUGAACUAGUCAAAAAGUUUUUUAUUUUUUUAUUUUUUUGGUUUUAAGGAGCAAAAAGUUUAAUAGGCAAGAAAGAAGGAAGAAAGAAGAAAGCAUCUCCCCCAUACAAAGACAAGGGAGUAGGACUUGGAACAAAGAGAAACCCUGUGUGCAGCAGAAAGGCAGUCCAUUAUCUAGGGAGGCUGGAGGAGGCAGUGUCUGGUUUGCAUAGGGACCAGGGGAUUGGUUUGACCAGGUGUGCCAUUCACAUAGCCCAUGAAAACCCUGGCCUUCCCACCUUAGCCCUUUAAUAUGCAAAUGCGAGUCGCCAUGAUGUUCUGAACACAUCUGGAGGUGGCCAUCACACUUGGCACAAGUGGCGACAAGGAGAAGAUGGUAGGAAUCACCAGACAGAGUGAACCCAGUUUCUAAUGGCCAACAUUUGCAUAUCAAAGCUUGCCUGCCGGGCCCUUCAAGCCACCUUUUCUGUUAGAAAAUAGAUGGUUGGGGGUGAGGGGGUUGUUUCUUGUAACGGGAUAACUUCCACUGAGAACCUUUACCCUUACUAUCUGUCUGCCUAAAAUAAUUUCUUAAUAACUCCUAUAUUAUUCCCUCCUCAAAGAGAAGUAAACCUAAUUGCUGUUAGGGGAUGUUGGAUGACAAAUCUUUCAAACUAGUUGAAAGUAUUUCUAACACCACUCCUAGAGGUAUGAAUCCCUAAACAAGAAAGAUAUGAUUUAGUUUUAUCCAUUUUGCAUUUUUAAUGAAUGGAAUCAUAAGGCGUGUAUUCAUCAGUGACUUUCUUUUUUAUGCUCAGAGAUUAACAUGCACUGCAAGAAAUAAUACAUGGAGAUCCUAUGUGUCUUUUACCUAGUUUCACCCAAGAGUAGCCUCUUGUAAAACAAUAGUAUAGUAUCACAACCAGGAUAUACUUACAUAGAUCAAUAUCGGAACAUGUCCAGCACCACUCAUAUUGCCUUUUUAUGUUCACAGCCACUUCCCUCCCACCCACACCCACUCCUUAACUCUGGGCAAUCACUAAGUUGUUCUCCAUUUCUAUAUUUUUUUCAUUUCACCAAUGAUAUAUAAAUGUUAUAUAUUGAAAUAGACUUUUUCCACUCAGCAUAAUUCCCUGAAGAUUACAGAUAAGUGUUGUAUAUAUCAACAAUUCAUUCCUUUUUAUUGCUGAGUAGUAUUUCAUGAUAUGGAUGUACCACAGUUUAAUCACUGAGGUGCCAUAUUUAACCUGUUGAAGGACAUCUGUUUAUUCCCAGUAUUAUUUGUUGCUACUGUGUAAAUAAAGCUUCUAUAAAUGUUCAAGUACAAGUUUUAGUGUGAACAUAAUUCUUCAUUUCUCUGGAAUAAAUUCUCAGGUGUGCAGCUAAUGAAUUGUAUGGUCGGUGCAUGUUUUGCUUUAGAAGGAACUGUCAGCCCAGUGUGGUAGCUCACACCUGCAAUCCCAGUAACUCCUGAGUCUGAGGCAAGAGGAUCACUU